UUGGAUAAGCAAGCAAAGUAUUUUAUUAUAAUAAUAAAGAAAACAUAAUAGAGAAAGCACCAGAAACACCAAAUGCCAGUAAAUAGAUAGACUUGAAAAAACCACACUACGAAAAUGAAAAUAGCCAGAAGUAAAAUACCAAGAGUACAGAGAUCUCAUCUCUAACCUCCAAACAUCUAAUAAACAAAUUCUAAGAAAUUAUUCGUAUGCAGAACCCAUUCACAUCAGAAAACUUCAAAAAUACCUCUGGUUUCAGGGCUCGUUCCCGAACAGGAAGCCAUCAACAAUUGCAGAGUCCCAGUAGUAUGCUGAUUAAAAGAGAGAGAGAGAGAGAGAGAGA
rnacentral:misc_RNA from 1 species